rnacentral:rRNA from 1 species
AGUAGUUUGAUCAGUGGCUCAGGACGAACGCUGGCGGCGUGCCUAACACAUGCAAGUCGAACGAAGCACUGGGGAGCGGAGAUUCGUCAAAGCACCCCUUUGACUUAGUGGCGGACGGGUGAGUAAUGCGUGAGCAACCUGCCCUUCAGAGGGGGACAACAGCUGGAAACGGCUGCUAAUACCGCAUGACGUAUUUGGGAGGCAUCUCCCGGAUACCAAAGAUUUAUCGCUGAGGGAUGGGCUCACGUCUGAUUAGCUGGUUGGUGGGGUAACGGCCUACCAAGGCGACGAUCAGUAGCCGGACUGAGAGGUUGAACGGCCACAUUGGGACUGAGAUACGGCCCAGACUCC